AGAUACCCUGGUAGUCCACGCCCUAAACGAUGUCAACUAGUUGUUGGGGGUUGAAAUCCCUGGUAACGCAGCUAACGCGUGAAGUUGACCGCCUGGGGAGUACGGCCGCAAGGUUAAAACUCAAAGGAAUUGACGGGGACCCGCACAAGCGGUGGAUGAUGUGGUUUAAUUCGAUGCAACGCGAAAAACCUUACCCACCUUUGACAUGUACGGAAGUCGCUAGAGAUAGCUUCGUGCUCGAAAGAGAGCCGUAACACAGGUGCUGCAUGGCUGUCGUCAGCUCGUGUCGUGAGAUGUUGGGUUAAGUCCCGCAACGAGCGCAACCCUUGUCAUUAGUUGCUACAUUCAGUUGGGCACUCUAGUGAGACUGCCGGUGACAAACCGGAGGAAGGUGGGGAUGACGUCAAGUCCUCAUGGCCCUUAUAGGUGGGGCUACACACGUCAUACAAUGGCUGGUACAAAGGGUUGCCAACCCGCGAGGGGGAGCUAAUCCCAUAAAACCAGUCGUAGUCCGGAUCGCAGUCUGCAACUCGACUGCGUGAAGUCGGAAUCGCUAGUAAUCGUGGAUCAGAAUGUCACGGUGAAUACGUUCCCGGGUCUUGCACUCACCGCCCGUC
rnacentral:rRNA from 1 species